GAGUUUGAUCCUGGCUCAGAGUGAACGCUGGCGGCAGGCCUAAUACAUGCAAGUCGAACGGCAGCACAGCAGAGCUUGCUCUGUGGGUGGCGAGUGGCGGACGGGUGAGGAAUACGUGGGAAUCUGCCCAGUCGUGGGGGAUAACGUAGGGAAACUUACGCUAAUACCGCAUGCGCCCUUCGGGGGAAAGCCGGGGACCUUCGGGCCUGGCGCGAUUGGAUGAGCCCACGUCGGAUUAGCUAGUUGGCGGGGUAAAGGCCCACCAAGGCGACGAUCCGUAGCUGGUCUGAGAGGAUGAUCAGCCACACUGGAACUGAGACACGGUCCAGACUCCUACGGGAGGCAGCAGUAGGGAAUAUUGGACAAUGGGCGCAAGCCUGAUCCAGCCAUGCCGCGUGAGUGAAGAAGGCCCUCGGGUUGUAAAGCUCUUUUGUCCGGAAAGAAAAGCGCCGGGUUAAUACCCUGGUGUCCUGACGGUACCGGAAGAAUAAGCACCGGCUAACUUCGUG
rnacentral:rRNA from 1 species